rnacentral:rRNA from 1 species
GAUGAACGCUGGCGGCGUGCCUAAUACAUGCAAGUCGAGCGAACAGACGAGGAGCUUGCUCCUCUGACGUUAGCGGCGGACGGGUGAGUAACACGUGGAUAACCUACCUAUAAGACUGGGAUAACUUCGGGAAACCGGAGCUAAUACCGGAUAAUAUAUUGAACCGCAUGGUUCAAUAGUGAAAGACGGUUUUGCUGUCACUUAUAGAUGGAUCCGCGCCGCAUUAGCUAGUUGGUAAGGUAACGGCUUACCAAGGCGACGAUGCGUAGCCGACCUGAGAGGGUGAUCGGCCACACUGGAACUGAGACACGGUCCAGACUCCUACGGGAGGCAGCAGUAGGGAAUCUUCCGCAAUGGGCGCAAGCCUGACGGAGCAACGCCGCGUGAGUGAUGAAGGUCUUCGGAUCGUAAAGCUCUGUUAUUAGGGAAGAACAAAUGUGUAAGUAACUAUGCACGUCUUGACGGUACCUAAUCAGAAAGCCACGGCUAACUACGUG